AUUGUAUGUCUUACUUAUUUAUUCAUUUGACAUUUUAAUUAGACACUAGCAGUAUUGUUUUCUUUGAAUACAUUUAAAGGUCCUAGAUUUAUUUCUUUUUGAUGCUCAUCUUCUAACUCAUUCCCUCCUAUCAAUCUCAGACUGCUGUAAAUAAAUGAUUUUUUGCCUUUUUUUUUUUUUUUUACUAUUAGUUAUCAUAUUUAUUUUUCUUAAACAAGCUGUACUGGUUAUACAGUCUGAAUUUGGAGAAUAGACGUCUUCAUUCAGGAGGGGAAAUUGAGCCAAGUUUGAAUAUAAUCAUUGGGUAACAAAUCCAGAAGAUUAAGUUACUAAGGAGAACAUGCAAAGUAAACACUUGCAUUUUAUGAACUACCUUCAAUUUAAAUAGACAACUGGGUAACUGUAUAUGACAUGUUUUGGGAGUAAGACCUGUUAAACCUACCUACUUCCUACUGUUUUCAUUUGAAAAAUAAAUCAAUUAUUAAACAGUUAUUCUACACAUUAAAGACUGUAAGUGAUUUAACCUUG
rnacentral:lncRNA from 1 species